rnacentral:lncRNA from 1 species
AUGGGUCUCUAUGGUUUCCUAUGGGUCUCUAUGGUUUCCUAUGGGUCUCUAUGGUUUCCUAUGGGUCUCUAUGGUUUCCUAUGGGUCUCUAUGGUUUCCUAUGAGUGCUUAUGGGUCGCUAUGGGUCUUUAUGGGUCUUUAUGGGAUUCUAUGGGUCUCUCUAUGGGUCUCUAUGAGUUCCUACGGGAUUCUAUGGGUCUCUCUCUAUGGGUCCCUAUGGGAUUCUAUGGGUCGCUAUGGGUCCUUAUGGGUCCUUACGGGUCUCUAUGGAUCUCUGUGGGAUUCUAUGGGUCUCUAUGGAUCCCUAUGAGAUUCCAUGGGUCCCUAUGGGAUUAUAUGGGUCCUUAUAGGUCCCUAUGGAUUUCUAUGGGUCCCUAUGGGAUUCUAUUGGUCCCUAUGGGAUUCUAUUGGUCUCUAUGGGGUUCUAUGGGUCUCUCUGUGGGUCUCUGUGGGUUUCUAUGGGUCUCUAUGGGUCUCUAUGGGGUCUUUCUAUGGGUCCCUAUGGGUUUCUCUGUUGUUCUGUAUGGGUCCCUAUGGAUCUGGGUCUCUAUGGGUCUUUCUAUGGGUCCAUAUGGAAUUGUAUGGGUCCCUAUGGGAUCCUAUGGGAUUCUAUGGGUCUGUAUGGGGUCUCUCUGGGUCCCUAUGGGAUUCUAUGGGUCCUUAUGGUUUCCUAUGGGUCCCUAUAGGUCCCUAUGGGUCUUUAUGGGUUCCUAUGGGAUUCUAUGGGUCCCUAUAGUUUUCUAUGGGUCCCUAUGGUUUCCUGUGGGUCCCUAUAGUUUCCUAUGGGUUCCUAUGGGUCUUUAUGGGUCCAAAUGGGAUUCUAUGGGUCCCUAUGGUCCCUAUGGGAUUCUGUGGGUCCCUAUGGGAUUCUAUGGGUCCUUAUGGUUUCCUAUGGGUCCCUAUGGGUCUUUAUGGAUCCCUAUGGGUCCCUAUGGGAUUCUGUGGGUCUGUAUGGGGUCUCUAGGAUUCUGUGGGUCCCUAUGGGUCCCUAUGGGAUUCUAUGGGUCCGUAUGGGAUUCUAUGGGUCCGUAUGGGAUUCUAUGGGUCCCUAUGGGAUUCUAUGGGUCCCUAUGGGAUUCUAUGGGUCCCUAUGGGAUUCUAUGGGUCCCUAUGGGAUUCUAUGGGUCCCUAUGGGA